UUUGGAAUCCCCAAGAUGGAUUAAAUUAGAUUUUUUUACAGUUAUACAUAUCAAAAUUCAUAUAAGUAUUUUACAGGUGAUAGAAUAUCUUAUAGACAACAUCCAUGAUCCUUUUUCUACACUACAUUUGGCAAUUAUAAAAAAUUCUUCAAGUGAUGCACUAAGUGCCACAAAACCAGAAGUUAAGAUGAGUAAUUACUUGGAUUACAUAGAUUACACUUAAGAAUGGUAUUUGGAUCCUAAGCCCAACUUGCAGCAUUUGGCAAACUCACCUAAUCAGUUUUUUAUGCUAGAGAGCUUCCUUAAUUUCAACCAAUUUUCUUCACUUUGAUUAAUAGGCGAAAACCUAGAAGACAUGCAUCAAGAGAGAUAAUAUGUUUAUCCAAAAUAUCAAACACUCUACAUGUUUAGUAUAAUGAUUUCUCAAAGAAUUAGAAAAGCAUUAAAAAGAAACACACCCUCAAGCAUUGCAAGAUUGAGUGUAGGGAUUUGAGUACCUUCAAAAACGCAGUAAUUGAGGAAUUACUUUGUUAUUUUCUACAUUAUCACGUCUACAUUUGUUCCAACAAGUCAGCCAACCCAUCAAAACACCAUGUCCUGCCUAGAAUCCACAAAAACAAUGAUGGUUAAGGUCCUUUGAAUGCAAUGAAGGCUUUUAUAUAACCGUCGAAAUUUCAUAAAUGUGUAGUCAUUAACAUCACUCCAACUCAACAUGCCCCGUUCCUUUACCCAAUUUAAAGUACAAACAUCUAUACUGUUCAAAUUUUCAAUAUCACUCCUAUAGAGAGAAAAAGGAAAUAGUGCACAAGCCUUACAACAGUAAAAGAAUCAUCCAAGAUUGACAAGAUGGAAUUAAACAUAUAUCUCAAUUAUUUCACUAAGUGAAACAAUAUUUAAAACAAAAAUCAUCUUGAAACCUUUUUCAAGAAAUAAUGAUUAAAAUCAUAAGGUAACAUAGGAAAAUAAAUAAUAAAAGAUGAUACUUUACAUAACAAGUAUUGAGGUUAUAUAUGAUAUUGGAGUCAUCUAUUUUGUGCAAUAAUUUUGUAACUUGGAGACUAUCCUGUACGACAGAUGCCUAAAAAAUUUCUAUGGAGGCAGUACUUCUAUAUCCUUCUGUUUUGAAAUCCAAAAUCCUCAAAAGGUUAGAACUUGAAACUUUCAGCUUUAAGGUCUUAAGUUUGAGUUUUAGGAAUGAGCUUUUGAAAAUUGAGGAAGCAGAUUCCCAGCUCUUUUAAUAGGAAAAAUAUUAAAUUGAAUCUGUUCAAGUAUAUAUGUGUAUAUAUAACAAAAAGAAAAAAACAAGAAAAAAAAACAAAGAAACCAGAUAUGUAACUUCAAGUUGAAUAUAUUCAACAAAUCAAAAUACAUAUGAAUUGGGCUACACAACAUGAUAACAUUUGAUCUCUUACUUUACUAGUUAUAUUAAAUGACUAGCAUCAAAAUGAAAGGCAGAAUUAGAAACAAAUAGUCACUCAGAUAGAAGAUCAUUUGGCUGAUUCAAAUAGAAAGUCCUUGAAUUUCUUAAUUCCACCUUUCUCAAUUCAUCCCACUUCCACAUUUUUAAACAUAAGUAAAUAGCUUCACAGCCAAAACUACUUCCUCUAUAUUUAGAAAUAAAACAAAAAGCAAGCAACUUAUUAUAGAAUUUCACCAAAAGAUUAUGGAAAAAACUUAUCAUUUCAAGUGUAGUUAAACUAUCAAAUCACUUCCUAUUCGAAGUCCUAUUACCAAUAGAUUUGGAAUUCAGAAAACAAGAGCAAGUAGCUUAUUAUAGAAUUUCACCAAAAGCAAUGUGGCCAACCUCAUCAUUUUUUUAAUGCCAGUGGAAUUUAUAUCAUUUUACUAUUUAAUUUAAAAUUAGAAUUUACCUGUCAGGUGACUGUUCCAAUAAUUGCAAUCACCAGGAAUUCCUUCCAUCUUCUUAAGAACUGCAAAAGGUUUGCAAGCAAAAGCCAAAGAUUAGAUUUCAAUAUUUUAGAAGGAAGAAUAGUGCGCCUUACAAGCUACAUAGUUGCUACAAUUUCAUUUUGUUAAGAUUUGUAUAAUUCCCUCCUGCUGCAAAAAAUUUGCUUUACUCUCAAUUUAUAGAAGCAAAAUACAGAACUUCCAUUCUACUAAUAGAAAAUGGUCAAAAUAACAAAAUUAGGUCUAAUUUAGAAACUCUAAAUUAAAAGACUACAAGCCAAAAGAAAAUUUUCAGUGGCACAUACAAGUCAUAAUCUCUGAUUUACUGGAGUCUUCUCUUAAAAAAGUACAUAUUGCAAAUUUAAGAAUACCACAGUACAUCCACGCAAUUAGCAUAAUGAACUAAAUAAAAAAAUUCAAAAUAACAAAAAGGCCAUAAGCGUAGUAGACAAGAACUUUAUUCAAGAAUCAUAUCAAGAUAUACGAACAAGACAAAAGUAAAAUAAAAUGACAACUAAACCAUUAAUGAAAACCCCGGAUUCAAAAGAAAAGAGAAAAUAAAUUACAGCAGAUCUAGAGAUUAAAGAAAAACACAAAAAUAGAAAGCCAAUAAGAAAAUUGAAAAGAAAGAAAGAAAAGAAGCAAAACCAACCAAAGACAAUGUGGAUUGAAGCUAAGCAAACACACCAAAAAGAUAGCUUCUCAAUGUGAAGAGCAGCUAAAAUAGAAUAACAAGGUUUGUAUAUUUGUGAAAAACAGAUUUCUUUGUGAAAAACCAAAGAUAGGGUUUUGGGUUAUAAAUUAAGACUGAGAAAGAAAUAAGAUACAUUGUGGGAAAUGAUAUCGAAGAAUAAAA
rnacentral:lncRNA from 1 species